AGAGUUUGAUCCUGGCUCAGAACGAACGCUGGCGGCGUGCUUAACACAUGCAAGUCGUACGAGAAAUCCUGGGCAACUGGGAAAGUAGAGUGGCGCACGGGUGAGUAACGCGUGGGUAACCUACCCUUGAACUGGGGAUAACUCCGCGAAAGCGGGGCUAAUACCGAAUAACAUUCCGACUUCCAAGGGAGUUGGAAUCAAAGGUGGCCUCUGCAUGCAAGCUAUCGUUUAAGGAUGGGCCCGCGUACCAUUAGCUUGUUGGUAGGGUAAUGGCCUACCAAGGCAACGAUGGUUAGCUGGUCUGAGAGGAUGGCCAGCCACACUGGAACUGAGACACGGUCCAGACUCCUACGGGAGGCAGCAGUGGGGAAUCUUGCGCAAUGGGGGAAACCCUGACGCAGCAACGCCGCGUGGGUGAUGAAGGCCUUCGGGUCGUAAAGCCCUGUCAGGUGGGAAGAAUUGUGUCGGUGUUAAUACCACCGAUGCUUGACGGUACUACCGGAGGAAGCACCGGCUAACUCCGUGCCAGCAGCCGCGGUAAUACGGAGGGUGCAAGCGUUGUUCGGAAUUAUUGGGCGUAAAGCGCGUGCAGGCGGUCGGGUAAGUCAGAUGUGAAAGCCUUCCGCUCAACGGAAGAAGUGCAUUUGAAACUGCUCGGCUGGAGUACGGGAGAGGAGAGUGGAAUUCCCGGUGUAGAGGUGAAAUUCGUAGAUAUCGGGAGGAACACCAGUGGCGAAGGCGGCUCUCUGGUCCGAUACUGACGCUGAGACGCGAAAGCGUGGGGAGCAAACAGGAUUAGA
rnacentral:rRNA from 1 species